GAUUAACGCUGGCGGCGUGCAUAACACAUGCAAGUCGAACGAUGAAACUUUAAUGAACCCUUCGGGGAGAAUUAAAGCGGAUUAGUGGCGAACGGGUGAGUAACGCGUGAGUAACCUGCCUUACACAAGGGGAUAGCCUUUGGAAACGAAGAAUAAUACCCUAUAAAACCAUAAAAGCACAUGCAAUUAUGGUCAAAGUGAUAGCGGUGUAAGAUGGACUUGCGUCUGAUUAGCUAGUUGGUGAGAUAAAAGCCCACCAAGGCAACGAUCAGUAGCCGGCUUGAGAGAGUGUACGGCCACAUUGGGACUGAGACGCGGCCCAGACUCCUACGGGAGGCAGCAGUGGGGAAUUUUGCACAAUGGGGGAAACCCUGAUGCAGCGACGCCGCGUGAUUUAGAAGGCCUUCGGGUUGUAAAAAUCUUUUGUAUAGGAAGAAAAUGACAGUACCAUACGAAUAAGGUCCGGCUAAUUACGUG
rnacentral:rRNA from 1 species